rnacentral:rRNA from 1 species
UCCUGGUGGCGAGUGGCGAACGGGUGAGUAAUAUAUCGGAACGUGCCCAGUCGUGGGGGAUAACGUAGAGAAAUUUACGCUAAUACCGCAUACGAUCUAAGGAUGAAAGCGGGGGACCGUAAGGCCUCGCGCGAUUGGAGCGGCUGAUAUCAGAUUAGGUUGUUGGUGAGGUAAAAGCUCACCAAGCCGACGAUCUGUAGCUGGUUUGAGAGAACGACCAGCCACACUGGGACUGAGACACGGCCCAGACUCCUACGGGAGGCAGCAGUGGGGAAUUUUGGACAAUGGGCGAAAGCCUGAUCCAGCAAUGCCGCGUGCAGGAAGAAGGCCUUCGGGUUGUAAACUGCUUUUGUACGGAACGAAAAGGCUUGCCCUAAUACGGCGGGCCCAUGACGGUACCGUAAGAAUAAGCACCGGCUAACUACGUGCCAGCAGCCGCGGUAAUACGUAGGGUGCGAGCGUUAAUCGGAAUUACUGGGCGUAAAGCGUGCGCAGGCGGUGAUGUAAGACAGUUGUGAAAUCCCCGGGCUCAACCUGGGAAUUGCAUCUGUGACUGCAUCGCUAGAGUACGGUAGAGGGGGAUGGAAUUCCGCGUGUAGCAGUGAAAUGCGUAGAUAUGCGGAGGA